AUAAGUGCUGAAAGCAUCUAAGCACGAAACUUGCCCCGAGAUGAGUUCUCCCUGAGACUUGAGUCUCCUGAAGGAACGUUGAAGACGACGACGUUGAUAGGCCGGGUGUGUAAGCGCAGCGAUGCGUUGAGCUAACCGGUACUAAUGAACCGUGAGGCUUAACCUUACAACGCCGAAG
rnacentral:rRNA from 1 species